GAUGAACGCUGGCGGCAUGCCUAAUACAUGCAAGUCGAGCGAAGCGGGGACGGGUGAGUAACACGUGGAUAACCUCCUAUAAGACUGGGAUAACUUCAGUAAACCAGGGCUGAACCGGCUCCUUAUUGCUGGAUCCGCGUUGGAUUAGCUAGUUGGUAAGGUAACGGCUUACCAAGGCAACGAUGCAUAGCCGACCUGAGAGGAUGAUCAGCCACACUGGAACUGAGACACGGUCCAGACUCCUACGGGAGGCAGCAGUAGGGAAUAUUGCGCAAUGGGCGAAAGCCUGACGGAGCAAUGCCGCGUGAGUGAUGAAGGUCUUCGGGUCGUAAAACUCUGUUAGUAGGGAAGCGGUACCUAAUCAGAAAGCAACGGCUAACUACGUGCCAGCAGCCGCGGUAAUUC
rnacentral:rRNA from 1 species